rnacentral:rRNA from 1 species
GACGAACGCUGGCGGCGUGCUUAACACAUGCAAGUCGAACGGAAAGGCCCUGCUUUUGUGGGGUGCUCGAGUGGCGAACGGGUGAGUAACACGUGAGUAACCUGCCCUUGACUUUGGGAUAACUUCAGGAAACUGGGGCUAAUACCGGAUAGGAGCUCCUGCUGCAUGGUGGGGGUUGGAAAGUUUCGGCGGUUGGGGAUGGACUCGCGGCCUAUCAGCUUGUUGGUGGGGUAGUGGCUUACCAAGGCUUUGACGGGUAGCCGGCCUGAGAGGGUGACCGGCCACAUUGGGACUGAGAUACGGCCCAGACUCCUACGGGAGGCAGCAGUGGGGAAUAUUGCACAAUGGGCGGAAGCCUGAUGCAGCAACGCCGCGUGCGGGAUGACGGCCUUCGGGUUGUAAACCGCUUUCGCCUGUGACGAAGCGUGAGUUACGGUAAUGGGUAAAGAAGCACCGGCUAACUACGUG